CAUGUACUCCCUCCGUCCAAAAAAGCUUGUCCCUCAAAUGGAUGUAUCUUGCUAGAUACAUCCAUUUGAGGGACAAGCUUUUCCGGACGGAGGGAGUAUGCA
rfam:Triticum aestivum genome assembly, contig: Triticum_aestivum_CS42_TGACv1_scaffold_375487_5AL